UACAGAGGUCCCGAGCGUUGUUCGGAUUCACUGGGCGUAAAGGGUGCGUAGGUGGUGAGGAAAGUCGGAUGUGAAAUCUCCAAGCUCAACUUGGAAAUGGCAUUGGAAACUACCUUGCUGGAGGUUUGGAGGGGGGACUGGAAUACUUGGUGUAGCAGUGAAAUGCGUAGAUAUCAAGUGGAACACCAGUGGCGAAGGCGGGUCUCUGGACAGUUCCUGACGCUGAGGCACGAAGGUCAGGGGAGCAAACGGG
rnacentral:rRNA from 1 species